rnacentral:rRNA from 1 species
GACGAACGCUGGCGGCGUGCUUAACACAUGCAAGUCGAACGGAAAGGCCCUGCUUUUGUGGGGUGCUCGAGUGGCGAACGGGUGAGUAACACGUGAGUAACCUGCCCUUGACUUUGGGAUAACUUCAGGAAACUGGGGCUAAUACCGGAUAUGAGCUCCUGCUGCAUGGUGGGGGUUGGUAAGUUUCGGCGGUUGGGGAUGGACUCGCGGCUUAUCAGCUUGUUGGUGGGGUAGUGGCUUACCAAGGCUUUGACGGGUAGCCGGCCUGAGAGGGUGACCGGCCACAUUGGGACUGAGAUACGGCCCAGACUCCUACGGGAGGCAGCAGUGGGGAAUAUUGCACAAUGGGCGGAAGCCUGAUGCAGCAACGCCGCGUGCGGGAUGACGGCCUUCGGGUUGUAAACCGCUUUCGCCUGUGACGAAGCGUGAGUGACGGUAAUGGGUAAAGAAGCACCGGCUAACUACGUG